UUUCAAAUUGCAAGAGGCUGCUGAGGUAGUUUAUAAAGCUGCGAGAGCAGAUCAUACUCACAGAUUUUAAGCUAUCUCCACUGCCUUUAUUGUAUGAUUCUUU